rnacentral:rRNA from 1 species
GGGAAACUUACCAGGUCAAGACACAGGUGGGAUUGACAGAUUAAGAGCUCUUUCUUGAUUCUGUGGGUGGUGGUGCAUGGCCGUUCUUAGUUGGUGGAGUGAUUUGUCAGGUUAAUUCCGUUAACGAACGAGACCUUAACCUGCUAACUAGUCGCUCUAUGCACAAUAGAGUUGACUUCUUAGAGGGACUAUGUGCUAAACACAUGGAAGUUUGAGGCAAUAA